GACGAACGCUGGCGGCGUGCUUAACACAUGCAAGUCGAACGGAUCCCAAUCAGUAGCAAUACUGAGGAAGGGUUAGUGGCGAACGGGUGAGUAACACGUGAGAAACCUAUCCUGGUCUCUGGGAUAACAGUCGGAAACAACUGCUAAUACCGGAUGCCGUCGGAGCGUCGCAUGGCGCGCUGACGAAAGGGUUACUGGAUCAGGAGGGUCUCGCGGCCUAUCAGCUAGAUGGUGGGGUAACGGCCUACCAUGGCAUCGACGGGUAGCUGGUCUGAGAGGAUGAUCAGCCACACUGGGACUGAGACACGGCCCAGACUCCUACGGGAGGCAGCAGUGGGGAAUCUUGCGCAAUGGGCGAAAGCCUGACGCAGCAACGCCGCGUGCGGGAAGAAGGCCUUCGGGUUGUAAACCGCUUUCAGAAGGAACGAAAAUGACGGUACUUUCAGAAGAAGGUGCGGCCAACUACGUG
rnacentral:rRNA from 1 species